GUUGAAUGUUGAGGACAAUUCCUUAACAACCCCUUGUAACCCUCCCAUGCCUUGUAAAGUGACUCACUCGAGUUUUGCUCAAAAUUAGCUAUCGCCUUUUUGAUUUU